GGCCUUGUAGUGUAACGGUUAUCACAUGAGAUUCUGAUUCUCAAGACCCAGGUUCGACUCCUGGCUAGGCCU
rfam:Phlebia centrifuga strain FBCC195 PHLCENscaffold_2223, whole genome shotgun sequence.